rnacentral:lncRNA from 1 species
GGUGCAAAUGGCCAAAUGGCUCCUCCAACUCCUCUGCUUUGACAGCCUGUCGUAGCAAAAGGCGUUUUGAGCGCGUUUUCUUUCCUGCAGUUUGCCACCAGAUGGCACGUACACACCGUGAGAGGUGGGAGGAAGCAAUGGGUCAGCAGAGAUCAGCCCUGAGCCUGGAAAUGGGCUGAGAUCCCCUGAAAGGCCCUUUGGUCACCUUGUCUAAGGGAGGAGGUGAUGCUGGAGCUGCACUUCUGAUGGCGUUGUGUCUGGACCAAGCGACCUCCAAUUAAAAUGGGAACAGAAGAGAGUUCUGCGUUCGGGUUGAUAACGAGGUGGGCCAUCAGGAUGGACGUGCUAAAAAAGCUGCAUUUUCUCUCCAAUUCUUUAUGUGAGAGUCUGAAUGCACGGCUGAGCCAUUUCUAGUGGAACCACUCACCCCUCAGCCUCUGCUUGUGGAUAGCUUGAAUUGGUUGAUGCUGAUGCUGUGCUGAGCUUCCAGUGAGGGGAGAUGCUGUGAGUGAGACCUGGGCACAAGGGAAGACAAGGACAGUGUCACACCUCUGCCACUGCCCUUCAGUCCCCAGCAUCCUUUGUGAGUGACACAGAGAGGUGACAGCAUGGGGAGCAGUGGGGCUGGCACAUUCCAGCUGCAGAACAGCCAGAAAAGGUCACAACAUCCAGCAGUUACCAACCUGCCUCAUCUCACCUCUACCUACUGCCCCUCAGGUCCUGUCUUAUGCUAACUGCAAUCUCCAGUGCUUUGGAGAUGGUUAAUUACUUUCCUUAGUGCCUCCUGCUGGGGCUGGCAGUGCUCCCAGCACAUCUCCCACCACCCCUCUGUGCAAUGGAAAUGCUCACACUGUCCCAAAACAAUGCAGGCUCCUUCCCAGGUAUCUCCUAUUUCCCUGCUGCAGGUGCUGUCGGGGAGCUGAUGCUCACCCCUGCUAUUUCUGAAUGACCCCAAGGUCAUUUUACCUUUAUUCCAGCACUGGGGAAGGCUCAGCCAAUUGUGUCACCUCCUGCAGUGCUGCUGUCUUCUCCAGCUCCCUGAGCACCAAGCAGAGGUGGGAGAUCGGUGGGGAGUAUGGGGUGGCCCUACAAAUCACAGCAUGGAAUCACAGACUCAUAGAACGGCUUGAGUUGGAAGGGACCUGAAAGAUCAUCAAGAUCCUGGAGCUUGGAGCCAUCCUAUAAAUAGAAGACAGGAUGUAGACAGCACAGGAGUCUGCUCCUAGGUGAGAUUUCUUUCUUCUUCUACAGGGUGGUGAGGGACUGAUGCCCAGAGGAAUGGUGGGUGCUACAUUCCUGGAGGUCCCCAAGGCCAUGGGUGGGAUUCU